rnacentral:rRNA from 1 species
CGAUGCAUGUUCAGUGAAAUCGAGUAGGGCGGGACACGUGUUAUCCUGUCUGAAUAUGGGGGGACCAUCCUCCAAGGCUAAAUACUCCUGACUGACCGAUAGUGAACCAGUACCGUGAGGGAAAGGCGAAAAGAACCCCUGUGAGGGGAGUGAAAUAGAACCUGAAACCGUGUACGUACAAGCAGUAGGAGCACCUUCGUGGUGUGACUGCGUACCUUUUGUAUAAUGGGUCAGCGACUUAUAUUCAGUGGCAAGGUUAACCAUCUAGGGGAGCCGUAGGGAAACCGAGUCUUAACUGGGCGCCAUAGUCUCUGGAUAUAGACCCGAAACCGAGUGAUCUAGCCAUGGGCAGGUUGAAGGUUGAGUAACAUCAACUGGAGGACCGAACCGACUAAUGUUGAAAAAUUAGCGGAUGACUUGUGGCUAGGGGUGAAAGGCCAAUCAAACUCGGAGAUAGCUGGUUCUCCCCGAAAGCUAUUUAGGUAGCGCCUCGGACGAAUACUACUGGGGGUAGAGCACUGUUAAGGCUAGGGGGUCAUCCCGACUUACCAACCCUUUGCAAACUCCGAAUACCAGUAAGUACUAUCCGGGAGACACACGGCGGGUGCUAACGUCCGUCGUGGAGAGGGAAACAACCCAGACCGCCAGCUAAGGUCCCAAAUUACAGCUAAGUGGGAAACGAUGUGGGAAGGCUUAGACAGCUAGGAUGUUGGCUUAGAAGCAGCCAUCAUUUAAAGAAAGCGUAAUAGCUCACUAGUCGAGUCGGCCUGCGCGGAAGAUGUAACGGGGCUAAGUU